CCUACGGGAGGCUGCAGUGGGGAAUAUUGGACAAUGGGGGAAACCCUGAUCCAGCAAUGCCGCGUGUGUGAAGAAGGCCUUCGGGUUGUAAAGCACUUUCAGUGGGGAGGAAGGGGCGAAUGCUAAUAUCAUUUGUCAUUGACGUUACCUACAGAAGAAGCACCGGCUAACUCUGUGCCAGCAGCCGCGGUAAUACAGAGGGUGCAAGCGUUAAUCGGAAUUACUGGGCGUAAAGCGUGUGUAGGUGGUUAGAUAAGUUAGAUGUGAAAUCCCCG
rnacentral:rRNA from 1 species